UGGGGAAUAUUGGGCAAUGGGCGAAAGCCUGACCCAGCAACGCCGCGUGAAGGAAGAAGGCCUUCGGGUUGUAAACUUCUUUUACCAGGGACGAAGGACGUGACGGUACCUGGAGAAAAAGCAACGGCUAACUACGUGCC
rnacentral:rRNA from 1 species